CUAGCUAACUGAAAUCACAAAAUCACAAAUGGUGUUUAUUGUGAUAACGUAAGGGAAAAAAAUGAUAUCACCUUACUAUAAGUGUUGUCUAAAUAACUGGUGCCAGAAGACUCGGUAACACCAGAAACGCGAACGUUAGUCGUCUUAAACAGGCGUAAAGGGUAAGUAGGCUGCUUUAACCGUCUAAAUUUAAAUAAGCUAAUUAAUAAUUUAACCUAAAAUUUAUCAGUUUUUAAUUACAGAAAUUAAAAAUAACUAAAAAUGAAAAAAGGUAAUUAUUAGUUUUUCUAAUAAUUAUAAUUAUUAAAUUAAAAAAUAGAUACACUUAAAGCUAGAAUCAUAAUUGAGAUAAACCAAAUAAUACUUAUGUGUAAGGGCGAUAUCUGAAAAUACUAAGUAGAAUACUAACGGUGAAAACUUUUUAUCUAGGAAUGAUUGACGCUGAGGUACGAAAGUGAGAACAGGGAAUAGGAUUAGAUACCCAGUUACCUCUCACCGUCAACGAUGAAUGGUAGUUGUUAGUUUAAUUAAAUUAGUGACGAUGUUAACGCGAUAACCAUUCCGCCUUGAGAGUACGGUUGCAAAACUGAAACCAAAAAAUUAUGCGGUCUCGGAGCAACGGAGUGA
rnacentral:rRNA from 1 species